rnacentral:rRNA from 1 species
AUGCGUCUUCUUGCUCCAGCAUUCAAGUUCCAUUUCAAGGGAGGACGACGUACCAUGAUACUUUCUGUUUUGUCGAGCCCUGCUUUGGUCUCUGGUUUGAUGGUUGUACGUGCUAAAAAUCCGGUACAUUCCGUUUUGUUUCCCAUCCUAGUCUUUUGCGACACUUCUGGUUUACUUAUUUUGUUAGGUCUCGACUUCUCCGCUAUGAUCUCCCCAGUAGUUCAUAUAGGAGCUAUUGCCGUUUCAUUCCUAUUCGUGGUUAUGAUGUUCAAUAUUCAAAUAGCGGAGAUUCACGAAGAAGUAUUGCGCUAUUUACCAGUGAGUGGUAUUAUUGGACUGAUCUAUUGGUGGGAAAUGUUCUUCAUUUUAGAUAAUGAAACCAUUCCAUUACUACCAACCCACAAAAAUACGACCUCUCUGAGAUAUACGGUUUAUGCCGGAAAGGUAUGA